rnacentral:lncRNA from 1 species
GUGCGCUCCCCGCCGAGGCUCCCCUCGACGCCUGGGCCGCCGCGCAACCGCACUGGAGCGGCUUCUCCCGCUGCCGUCUUCGCGCAGGGUUGAGUUUGUGCAUCGAUUGUGAACACAACAGGCAGCAGGCUAUAAUGGUGGUCCUGGCUGGAGUAGUUUUCACAGACUUCAGUAAUCUGUGGAGAUGAACGGGCAGUUCUCUGUAGUUUUCACAGAUCACUGCCAGUUCGUUUUGAGGCCUUCAGGAGUGAAGACCUGGCUCAUCAUCACUCUUUGUUGUUUUGUUAAAUUUAUUUACACCCUACUUUAUUCCAGAGGAAAGGAUUUAACGUAGUUUACAUAAAUGUGUACAUCAGGGUAAAUUAAAAAUAAGUACAGAGAAAAAUAGGACAAAAGAAAACCGUGAGUGUGAAAGAUAAGAUUAAGCCAGCAGUUUUGUAUGCAAAAUGCAUGGUGUAAGGUCCUAUUGGUUUGCUGGAGGUAGGCCACACAUAUGACUCUCAGUUUUCUAGCAACCAAGAAAAAGAUCAGUUGCAAUCGGAGUAGGUGUUUUGGCUAAGCUGGAACUAGGACUUGAAUAUAGCAGCUUGUAGAGUUAUACCACUUGCCCAAAUCUCUUCCAUGAGCCUCUUUAAGUGUAACAGAAUGCCUGGGAGCACGUAAAUGCUCCUACUUAGAUGCCUACUUAGCCUCUAAUUUUCAUGGGGCCCAUGAAUCCCAUGAAAAAGAACUUUGAACCCUGUCCACAAUUAGAGUUCAGGUAUACGCAGACAUGUUUAAAGACAAGGGACACCCAAAGGAAAGAUUGCACAGAGAGAAAGUGAGCAUCCGAGAGAAAAUCACCACAAGUGAGGCAGAGGGAGGCCGGUCUCAGCAGAGUUUUGGAGGUCGUGAGAAGAAGAGGUAGGAGAUAGGAGAGUGGUUCCGAGUACUUGCCUGCUGAUGUUACCUUCUCCACCCCCACCAGGUUUUCCAGUGCCUGGAGUCUUGGGCAGGAAUGGGCCACUGUAAGAAAGAGCUUUAUCACUAGGGCCUCAGCCAACUUUUCUGUGGGAUAUCCCUCCAAAAUAAUUAAGAGUUCAGAAUGCUUCAGAUUUUGAAGUGAAACUGGUACAUAUAUUAAGUGUUACUUAAUAACCCGAUAGUUUCUAGGGCAGCUCACCAUAAUCCCAAGUAUUAGCCACCACCCUCACCCCCUUCAGAGUAAAAUGUGUUUCCUGAAGGAAGUUGGGAAAAUGAAGAAAAAAAAUACAAAAAUCACCUAUAAUCUUACCAGUCAUAGAUGGCAGUUUUCCUGUCUUAUUUCUGAAUAAUGGUUGUUAAACAUUUGCCAGCACACCAUAAGGCUUAGGGAGGCAUCUGGGUCAUGCAUGUUAAUAUCCUUGGGUAAUUCCAGAAAUCUCUAUGAAGGGAAACUCCUGUUAUUUAUCUAGACUUCCUGAUUGCAAGGGGUUUGGGCAUCAUGAUUUAGGGGUCUUAAUAAAAUUAUUAUUUUAUUUUUACUAAUAGAUAAUGUCUGUGCCUAUCAGAUAAAGGCAAACCAGUGCUCAGAGGAACCCAACCAUCUCUGAAUUGAGACCAGAGAGCUGUCUCUAUGGAUAGUCCUUAGAGAAGGCAUUUCGGAACACAGUAAACAGCAGCCUGGUGACUCCGAUUACAGGGCCAGUUGCCUUUGUUACAAUAAAAGCAAGUCAUCUACACAGAUUUUUCCUACCAGGAAGAGCAUGUGCUGACCAACAGACAUGAAUUUCAGCCUGGUAGUUACAACAUUCACAGUAUACCCACAUCACUAAGCUGGGAGGCACAUUUUGAGACCCAGAAUCCUGACACCUCCAUGCCUUCAAAAGGAUACCGAGGUCUCCCUGUAUUGCCCAGGCUGGUCUCAAACCCCUGGCCUCCAGCGAUCCUUCCACCUCAGCCUCCCAAAGUGCUGGAAUUACAGGUUUGAGCCACUGUGCCCAGUUUCUUCUGUGCUCUUGAUGGAAAACUUAUUAUUACUGCUACUCUCCUCCUUGCCCAUCAGCCAUACUCUGGCUGCAUUAGCUUUCUUUGUAUUCCCAGCACUCCCCAGGCCUGUUGUUCCUUUUGGGUCUUUGUCUGGGGUCUUGCUCUAGCUGUAAUGUUCUUUACCCUUAGAUUCCCAUGAUUGGCUCCUUCUUGUCCCUAAGUCUCAGCUAAAGUGUUAUCCUGAAGAAAGGCCUUCACUGAUGAUCCCAUCCAAAGUAAUCACUGUAUUACACCAUUCAAUUUUAUUCUUUGCAUAGCAUUUACCCAUUGCUAAUAUUUUUCUUAUUUAUUUAUUUUUUUUAAAUAAUCUAUCUCCUGUCAACUAGAAUGUAAGCCCUGAUAGGGCAGGACUCUUUUAUUACACUGUAUUUUCAUUAUUAUAUCUACAGUGCCAAAAACUAUCCCUAACACAGGGGAGAUGCUCUAUACAUGUUUGGGGAGGAGGGAGGAAGGAAGGGAGGGAGGGAGAGAGGAAAGAAGGAAGGAAGGUGGGAAGAAAGGAAAGAAAGGAAGACAAUUGGGAAGGAUUUUUCUGAUCUGAGGCUGAUUGUUGGAGGCAUCCAACUGGUUAUUAUUUUGCUUAACAGCAAAAUAUUUUUAUCCACCUCCUUUGGAAACAAGAGAUCUUAAAGAUGUUUUGAGUUGAUUACAUAAGACUAUUUAACAGUGGUUAUGAAAACAGAUGAGUUAUCCUGAGAGGCUUUACUAGAUAUUUGUCAUCAUGAGCUCAGUCUCAUAAGUUAUUAUAAUAGAAAAUCAGGAAAAACUGCUUAUGUGUUUGAAUUCAAGUAGCUAAGUCUCAAAAUAUAAUAAAAAACAGUUGCACUACAGAUUUUCUUUCAAAAUAGCUCAAAAAUACCUUGUUGGCAGCAAAGGGAGUAAUAAUAAAAUAUCUUCCAAAAAACCUGAAAAUAGGAAAUAAAUUUGCCUUCUGAGAGUUAAACCAGUCAUACACACACACACACACACACACACACACACGUGCACACAUGCACACAUGUGCACGCAUGUGAACAUGCAUAGAAUCACACAGAGAUUAGGCUAAACCCAAUGAGGGAGUAAACUGAGAGAUAACCAGUGUGUACCUGAAGACUUUGGGAAUACCCCUAACUUCAGUGACCUGGGGGUAAUCCAGGAAGGCAAUCACCAGAAUGUGUUUGUUAAUUUAAUCCGUUGUAUGGAGAAAGUCUGGAUGAACAGAGGAUGUAGGCAGAGAGCUGUCAGCCUGUAGCCUGGAAAACCUCAACCUAAGAAGCAAGGAGUGGGUAGCACACUCCCAACUACUGUUCAAGAGAGAAGGGGCCUUGGCCUAAGGAUUUGAGCUCUCAGGUCUCUGUGGCAAAUGUAUCUUUGGAUAAGUCAUCUACCCACCUCUCCUUACUCAGAUUUCAUGCUCCACAUGGCUCCCUGUGUGCUGAAGCCUGAUUAUAGGAAGCAAAGACUCUGGUCUGCUGAUGUGAAGGCUCACCUGUUAGCUGGUUGCAUUUAUGGUUAAAAUGGAAUGAAUUUGAAUUCUGGCUAUACAGCAGUCUCUGUGAGCUUGGGUUAGUAUGAGUUUACCUGUGAGAUAAAGUUCCAGAGCAGAGUGACUUGUGACUUGUGUUGGGUCCAUACUAAGUGGCAGACAGUGGACCAGAAUUUAUACCACAAAUCCAGGUUGGCUCUGAGAAGACACUGCCACUAAGGACUGAUCUAAACUCAGUUCCCUUUCAAGUUCACCAAUUGUAUGACUCACAUGACAUUGAAUGAGGCCGGGAGUGUGAUACUAGCUGGACUCACCUUCAAGAACCCAAAAGACCCCAGUGGAUAAGAUGUGGAUACUCUAGUCCAUGGGUCAGCAAACUUUUUCUGUGAAGGGCCAGAAAACAAAUCUAUUAGGCUUGUGGACCACAUACAGCCUCUAUUACAUAUUUGUUAUCUUC